rnacentral:lncRNA from 1 species
CUCAGCUGUCCCCGCACCUCUCCAGACCGCCCACGUCCCAGCUGCCCCCUGGCAUCUCCGGAUCACCCACGUCCCGCCAUCCACCGCGCGUCCCCGGACCGCCCACCUCCCAGCAGCCCCGCGCCUCCCGGACCGCCCACUUCCCGGCAGUCCCCGCGCAUCUCUGUGGCAGCUGCCCAGUGCUUCUCGCCCCGCCGCGCCCGCCCACCCAACGGCGCUGUGUCCAGGAACCCACUUGAAGAACCUGUGGAGCUUCAAGAUAGUUUAGACUUGGUAUGCCAAGGGACCGCCGGAAGAGGAAAGAACCAAUCCAUCCAUCUCUUGUCCAGGCCUGUCGCACCCAGUGCAGGUAGCGGUCGGUGA